rnacentral:rRNA from 1 species
ACUCCUACGGGAGGCAGCAGUGAGGAAUUUUGCGCAAUGGGGGCAACCCUGACGCAGCAACGCCGCGUGAGUGAUGAAGGCCUUCGGGUCGUAAAGCUCUGUCAAGUGGGAAGAAUCUGCUCAGUGAUAACACCAUGGGGCACUGACGGUACCACUGAAGGAAGCACCGGCUAACUCCGUGCCAGCAGCCGCGGUAAUACGGGGGGUGCUAGCGUUAUUCGGAAUCAUUGGGCGUAAAGGGCGCGUAGGCGGUCUCUUAAGUCAGAUGUGAAAGCCCUCGGCUUAACCGGGGAAGUGCAUUUGAUACUAAGGGACUUGAGUAUGGGAGAGGGAAGCGGAAUUCCUGGUGUAGCGGUGAAAUGCGUAGAUAUCAGGAGGAACACCGGUGGCGAAGGCGGCUUCCUGGACCAAUACUGACGCUGAGGCGCGAAGGCGUGGGGAGCAAACAGGAUUAGAUACCCUGGUAGUCCACGCAGUAAACGGUGAACACUAGGUGUAGCGGGUAUUGACCCCUGCUGUGCCGAAG